AGCUAAUACUUGCUUUAGCACUCUUGAUUAAGUUCUUGAGUGUGUACUUGUUAAGCCUUUUAAGAAAAAAGUUAUUAACUUAAGGAAUUAUAACAAAGAAGCAACACGUAAAUGGAUUUUCCAUUUUUUAGUGUGUAUCAAUCGAGUUUCUGACCUAUCAGCUUUUGAUGUUAGGGUAUUGGCCUAACAUGGCUAUGACGGGUAACGGGGAAUUAGAGUUCGAUUCCGGAGAGGGAGCCUGAGAAAUAGCUACCACAUCUAAGGAAGGCAGCAGGCGCGUAAAUUACCCAAUUCUAAAGAAGAGAGGUAGUGACAAGAAAUAACAAUACAAGGCCAAUCUGGCUUUGUAAUUGGAAUGAUGGGAAUUUAAAACCUUCCCAAAACUCAAUUGGAGGGCAAGUCUGGUGCCAGCAGCCGCGGUAAUUCCAGCUCCAAUAGCGUAUAUUAAAAUUGUUGCAGUUAAAACGCUCGUAGUUGAAUUUCAAAGAAUCGAUAUUUUAAGUAGCACUUUGUAGAUUAAUCCACAUAACUGAUACUACGUAUCGACUUUGUGCGCAUUUUUCUACUUAUGUGUUCUUUUAAUUAAAAUGAUUCUUUUUAAGAUCUUUCUUUUUUGCUUCGGCAUUUUAGGAGAUCUUGUUACUUUGAGUAAAUUAGAGUGUUCAAAGCAAACAGAUUAUAGCAUCUUUAUGCGUUUGAAUACUACAGCAUGGAAUAACAAAAUUGAACAAGUCAGAAUUUUGUUCUUUUUUCUUAUUUUGGCUUAGUUACGAUUAAUAGGAGUAGCUUGGGGGCAUUUGUAUUCAGAUGUCAGAGGUGAAAUUCUUAGAUUUUCUGGAGACAAACAACUGCGAAAGCAUUUGCCUAAAAUACUUCCAUUAAUCAAGAACGAAAGUUAAGGGAGUGAAGACGAUCAGAUACCGUCGUAAUCUUAACCAUAAACUAUGCCGACUAGGCUUUGGAUGAAAGAUUUUAAAAUAAGAGUUUUUUCUCU
rnacentral:rRNA from 1 species